UGGGGAAUAUUGCACAAUGGGGAAAGACCCUGAUGCAGCGACGCCGCGUGAGCGAAGAAGUAUUUCGGUAUGUAAAGCUCUAUCAGCAGGGAAGAAAAUGACGGUACCUGACUAAGAAGCCCCGGCUAACUACGUGCCAGCAGCCGCGGUAAUACGUAGGGGGCAAGCGUUAUCCGGAUUUACUGGGUGUAAAGGGAGCGUAGACGGAUGUGCAAGUCUGAAGUGAAAGCCCGGGGCUCAACCCCGGGACUGCUUUGGAAACUGUUAAGCUGGAGUGCCGGAGAGGUAAGCGGAAUUCCUAGUGUAGCGGUGAAAUGCGUAGAUAUUAGGAGGAACACCAGUGGCGAAGGCGGCUUACUGGACGGUAACUGACGUUGAGGCUCGAAAGCGUGGGGAGCAAACAGGAUUAGAUACC
rnacentral:rRNA from 1 species